CCCUUAGAUGUUCUGGGCGGCCCGCGCACUACAAUGGCGUGUGCAGCGAGUGCCGAAGUAGAGUUUUCCGAGGUAUUCUUGCAAGGCUCGUUUUGAUGGGGAUAGACCCUUGCAACUGUUGGUUUUGAACGAGGAAUUCCUUGUAAGCAUGGUUUAUCAUCCGACGCUGAAUGCGUCCCUGCCCUUUGUACACACCGCCCGUCGCUCCUACCGAUGAGUCGUCCGGUGAAGUUCGUAGACCUCGUGAUCGCGGAUCACUGGGGGAAGCAAAAUGAACCUCGCGGUUUAGAGGAAGGAGAAGUCGUAACA
rnacentral:rRNA from 1 species